AUUUGGUUUAAGGUUUGAUUAAGACUAGAAUUUGCUUAGGAUUUGGUUUAGAACUUAUUUGAUGUUUGUUUAGGAUUUAGGAUUUUAUUGGGAUUUCAUUAAGAUUUAACCUAGGAUUUGAUUAAGAUUCAAUUAGGAUUUUAAUUAAAAUUAAAUUAUGAUUUUUAUCUUUAAUAUUUCUUGAGGAUUAUUUUUGUUUAUUUUGUAAAUUCUUUUAAAUUUAUUUCAAUAAAUUAAAGUUUGAUUGAGUUAUUAUGAAUUACUUAAAGUU
rnacentral:lncRNA from 1 species